UUUUAUUCUCAGGGCGGGGCGAAAUUCCCCACCGGCGGUAUACCUUUUAGGUGAGCCCGCGAGCGCUCGAUUCGUCGAGGUCAGCAGAUCUGGUGAGAAGCCAGAGCCGACGGUUAGAGUCCGGAUGAGAGAGAAUGAAA
rnacentral:ncRNA from 2 species